ACCGGGAUGUUCAUAACCCUUUGUUGUCCGACUCUGUUGCCUCCGGGGCGACCCUGCCUUCGGGCGGGGGCUCCGGGUGGACACUUCAAACUCUUGCGUAACUUUGCAGUCUGAGUAAACUUAAUUAAUAAAUUAAAACUUUUAACAACGGAUCUCUUGGUUCUGGCAUCGAUGAAGAACGCAGCGAAAUGCGAUAAGUAAUGUGAAUUGCAGAAUUCAGUGAAUCAUCGAAUCUUUGAACGCACAUUGCGCCCCCUGGUAUUCCGGGGGGCAUGCCUGUUCGAGCGUCAUUUCACCACUCAAGCCUCGCUUGGUAUUGGGCAACGCGGUCCGCCGCGUGCCUCAAAUCGACCGGCUGGGUCUUCUGUCCCCUAAGCGUUGUGGAAACUAUUCGCUAAAGGGUGUUCGGGAGGCUACGCCGUAAAACAACCCCAUUUCUAAGGCGGCGAGUGAAGCAGCAAUAGCUCAAAUUUGAAAUCUGGCGUCUUCGACGUCCGAGUUGUAAUUUGUAGAGGAUGCUUCUGAGUAACCACCGACCUAAGUUCCUUGGAACAGGACGUCAUAGAGGGUGAGAAUCCCGUAUGCGGUCGGAAAGGUGCUCUAUACGUAGCUCCUUCGACGAGUCGAGUUGUUUGGGAAUGCAGCUCUAAAUGGGAGGUAAAUUUCUUCUAAAGCUAAAUAUUGGCCAGAGACCGAUAGCGCACAAGUAGAGUGAUCGAAAGAUGAAAAGCACUUUGGAAAGAGAGUUAAAAAGCACGUGAAAUUGUUAAAAGGGAAGGGAUUGCAACCAGACUUGCUCGCGGUGUUCCGCCGGUCUUCUGACCGGUCUACUCGCCGCGUUGCAGGCCAGCAUCGUCUGGUGCCGCUGGAUAAGACUUGAGGAAUGUAGCUCCCUCGGGAGUGUUAUAGCCUCUUGUGAUGCAGCGAGCGCCGGGCGAGGUCCGCGCUUCGGCUAGGAUGCUGGCGUAAUGGUCGUAAUCCGCCCGUCUUGAAACACGGACCAAGGAGUCUAACAUCUAUGCGAGUGUUCGGGUGUCAAACCCCUACGCGUAAUGAAAGUGAACGGAGGUGAGAACCGCAAGGUGCAUCAUCGACCGAUCCUGAUGUCUUCGGAUGGAUUUGAGUAAGAGCAUA
rnacentral:sRNA from 1 species